GUCUUCUCAUUGAGCUCCUUUCUGUCAGCUGGUGACAGUUUAUGGAUUCGCACGAGAAGAAGAGACAGUUCACAGAACUGACAUUCUGUGACCUUCUGGUUUUUCUGAGGGUAUAUUGGGCUGUUCUGUGAGACAUUU
ensembl:snoRNA SNORA75 Small nucleolar RNA SNORA75